UUUAAUGUCUGAUUGUUGGAUUAAUAGGUAUUAAUGCUAAUUUCAAAGCAGUGCAAUGGGUUGAUGCCAGUUAAAGGACUUCAGAAACUACUAGUAAGCUUAGACUGUCAGUAUGCUUCUCUCUGUGUUCUGGGCUGUGAGGCUUGGAAAUCUUAGCACGAGCUACUGCAAUACUGUCCUCUGCUCAGAAGAGCCAGCUCUGACUAGUGGGACUUCCAUAGGGCAGAUGAAAUUCUCAUAAACCGGGAGUGAAGGCUGCUAUAUACACAGAAAAUUAUGGUUCAUCUCCUACGUCCAAUUCACCCCGAGUUAAUGGCCUAGCUUAGUGUGACAGUAGUGCAUUGAAUCGUGCCUCUAGGUUCUUGGCUUGUUUGGGAAAAACCCACCUAGAGUAAGAGGAAGGUGGGGAAAUAAUGGAGCCUUAGUAGCAUUGCUGAAUAUGAGGUGACAAUCUGUUUAAAGUAUGGGAAAAGGAACAUUGUUUUAAAACUUUUAUAGUAGUAGUGUGGCAAGAGUUUUAGGUGCAUGUAAAGAGCAGUCAGCUCUGUUGCUAACCUUCAGGAGUGAAAGCUGGCUAGGCACCUUUGGCCUUCAAAGCAGAUGCUUUUGCGUUUUGUUAUUUAUGGAAGUCACAUCUGUGCUUGAGAAAUUAGCCCACAGAACAGCCGAUUGGCUGUGCUGACACCAGUUUUAGGAAAAAUAUUUAUGUUGAUGUAUUUAUUUAUUUAUUUUUUAAUGCUACUGUAAGCUUUAUUUAUUUUCACUCUUGCUGAGUAUGUCAAGACAUCUGGGUACAGCCGGAUGAACUUUUAUGUUCAGUUAAUUAAAAUAUAUUGAUCUAAUUGUGGAAAACUUUUGUAAACAAACCAUUUAAAUGUUAAAUGUAAAUUAAAAUUGCAAGAUUGGGAUUCUAGCAGCUCCCAUGCCACUGGUACAGGAUGACAGUAGCUAAGAUAGCUGUCUCCAGAGUCAGAAAGACUGGAACACUUCACAGCUGGAUUUAAGGUAAGCCUGAAUACUUCUGCUUGAAUUUGACACUGAUCUAGAAUGAAUAACACUUAAAUAUUUUCUCUGUGAUGUUUUUCUAGUAAGUAAUAGCCUCUGUCUUGCAAAACAAUGGAGUGUGUCCUGUCUACCUCUUGCAUUCAGCUAAGCAGUGCUCCAGAGUGUCAUACUGCAGUCCUGGAAUGAGCUGAACAGCUGGGAAGGGGCAGAAAAAUCCAUCCCUCCCUGAACCAACAGAACUGUUCGCAGCUGUGAAGAUCCCAAAACAAUUACAGGAGUUGCUGCAGCUGUCUGGUAAGGAGUGAGAAGACAGCUUGUCAGAGGUACUUGAAUGAAGGCUAGUUGUGUUGCUUUUUCUUCCAUGCCUCUGUUAUAAUACUGUUCUGGGCAGCAGACAAUGGUGCAACUGCUGUCUGCAUGGUAGGCUGUAGGCACUCACUGGACGACAGAACUGGGCUCAUGGGGGGCUGGUAUUGGCAGAAGGCUCAUUUGGUACAAAAUGCUGUAAAAGGGAGAUGAAAGUGACCCCAGGUCUGCUCGACAGUGGAUGUAAGAGGCCUGUUUGUUAUACAGUGUUUAUUAAGUAGAUUCAGUCUUAUAUAUGAUAUACAGAUUCAAAAGAAAAAAGGAUUCCACAUACUUAUGAAAUCAGUGCAUUUAGCAAGUAAUACCAUGGAGAUAACAGCUUGAUUAACAGCUCAUUGGUCUUUGUUAAGUGAGGGGAACAGGGAGUUGGCCUGUGCUAAUCAUUCCACAAACAGAACAGAAUUAAGUUGCAUCACAUAUAUAAUAGACACACGUUCUAAGAAUUAAAAUAUUAAGCCACAUUUACUGGAAAAAUCCACAGUAUAUAACACAAAUCAUUUGUAUAGAGCUUAUUGAGGAGGAAGUGCUCAUCUGCUUAAAAGAGCCACAUUGAGUUGCAUAGGUGCCUAGCUGCAAAAAUAUCAUUUAGAAAGGAAUCAACUGAUUACGCAAUAAAGUGUCACCUUAGAAGCUGGAUUCUCUUCCCCUGGUGGCUUAAGUGCCAUGUUUGCUACUCGAGCCCCCUGGAAAGUACUGGCUUUCCAAAUGAGGUGUCUUUGACUUCAUUCGGGGACCCUCGUGUCUCCCGAGGGACUCCUUUCCUACUGUUUUAUUCUGAAAUCAGCAUUGGGGAUGACUUGACCAGGUGUGCGGGGACGGGUGUCUCCAGUUGUGCUGAAGGAAAAAGCAGGUUCUUCCCCCUUCCCCAGCUGUUGUGAUUGCUGCUGUAUUCAGCUUGGAAUCGGGUCCAGCUGAGCAGCUUUUGCCUUCAUGCCUUGGGUACCAGGGAAGGAGGCUGGUGAAACAGCACCGUCAUAUGGUUCUGUUUCCAUGCGGGGUCCUGGCUGUCGGUUUUUCAAUGAAUUCUCUUGUAUCAGGUCUCAGAUUUGUAGACCAAAGCUAUUUCUUAAGUUGACCACUCAAGAUAAACUAGAUUGUGCAAAGAACAAAUCUAUGACAGCACAUCUCAGCACUGGGGGGAGGGAAGGGGGGGUUGUUUUGUCUUUUAAGACGGCGAAACAUUUCCGUGAGAGAGAAAGUGAGUCUGUGGCUUUCUUAGGCAGAUGAACUGGGUGAGGUGCAUCUUCCUCUUCAACAGCAGGUCUUGCAGAACACACAGGGGCUGGGAGUUCUGUACAUGUAAACAGUACACUUUCACUGAGUCCAAAAUUAGGAGCAAAAAUACAAAGGUUCACAUUGGUCUUAGGUAGAUACAGGCGAAGAACUGAGCUGUACGGCUCUGAAACAACCAAACAAAAGUUUUCUAAAGCACCACUAAAUUAUAUAAAAAUCAGACCAUGGACGGAUUGUAGUUGGUAUUCUGGUGAAAUACUAUGCUACCUUGUAAAAAGUUUUACAAAAAAUUACAAAUCAAAAGUAUAUUAUUUAACCCUCUGAGUUCAAAGCAGCAUUUUUGUAAAUGAACUGGUACUAAAUCCUACGGCCGCCCGCCGGAGGGGAGCAGCCCUCUGGACUGGGGAGGUACAAGUCGCAUCUGCUUGGAAUCCCGUGAACACUUUUUCCUCCUGCUGAAACGCAUCGUUGGGAACUGGACGUCCCAUGCGUGCUCGCGAGGAGGAGUCUCAAGGAAACAAAAAUUGUAUGUUUUCUUGAACACGUUUUUUUCCCCUCAGACCGUCUGCUAAACUAGGGUUCUCCUUUCAGCCGUCACAAAGUCUGGAAAGCCAGUGUGUUCUGCUCCUGCUCAUUCCUUCUGCCUGAGAAUCUAAAUCAGAGAUUCCUAGUCCUUUAGUAUCUAGGGAGAACUGAGGAUUGUGGCUGUGAAAUGACAGGUUUUGAGCACAGAAGGGCCGAUAUCGAGUGAGGACCAGUUAAAGAGCACUGAGAUGUCCCGUGGAGCUAGCUCCAAAGAAAAUAAAGCUGCAGCUUACCCA